CAGCCGCCGCGGUAAUACGUAGGUGGCAAGCGUUGUCCGGAAUUAUUGGGCGUAAAGGGCUCGCAGGCGGUUUCUUAAGUCUGAUGUGAAAGCCCCCGGCUCAACCGGGGAGGGUCGUUGGAAACUGGGAAACUUGAGUGCAGAAGAGGAGAGUGGAAUUCCACGUGUAGCGGUGAAAUGCGUAGAUAUAUGGAGGAACACCAGUGGCGAAGGCGACUCUCUGGUCUGUAACUGACGCUGAGGCUCGAAAGCGUGGGGAGCAAACAGGAUUAGAUACCCGCGUAGUCCCUGUCUCUUAUAC
rnacentral:rRNA from 1 species